rnacentral:rRNA from 1 species
GACGAACGCUGGCGGCGUGCUUAACACAUGCAAGUCGAACGGAAAGGCCCUGCUUUUGUGGGGUGCUCGAGUGGCGAACGGGUGAGUAACACGUGAGUAACCUGCCCUUGACUUUGGGAUAACUUCAGGAAACUGUGGCUAAUACCGGAUAGGAGCUCCUGCUGCAUGGUGGGGGUUGGAAAUUUUCGGCGGUUGGGGAUGGACUCGCGGCUUAUCAGCUUGUUGGGGGGGUAGUGGCUUACCAAGGCUUUGACGGGUAGCCGGCCUGAGAGGGUGACCGGCCACAUUGGGACUGAGAUACGGCCCAGACUCAUACGGGAGGCAGCAGUGGGGAAUAUUGCACAAUGGGCGGAAGCCUGAUGCAGCAACGCCGCGUGCAGGAUGACGGCCUUCGGGUUGUAAACCGCUUUCGCCUGUGACGAAGCGUGAGUGACGGUAAUGGGUAAAGAAGCACCGGCUAACUACGUG